rnacentral:sRNA from 1 species
GUAGUGAGUAAGUCUCACGAGAUCUGAUGGUUUUAUAAAUGGGAGAUCCCCUGCACAAGCUCUCUUGCCUCCUGCCAUGUAAUAACUGUAGAGACAGUACCUUGUGCCCAGCUUAUGCCACCUGCACCAACACAGUGGACAGUUACUAUUGCACUUGCAAACGAGGCUUCCUGUCCAGCAAUGGGCAAAAUCACUUCAAGGGUCCAGGAGUGCAAUGCAAAGAUAUUGAUGAAUGUUCUCAAAGCCCCCAGCCCUGUGGUCCUAACUCAUCCUGCAAAAACCUGUCGGGGAGGUACAAGUGCAGCUGUUUACAUGGUUUCUCUUCUCCCACUGGAAAUGACUGGGUCCCAGGAAAGCCGGGCAAUUUCUCCUGUACUGAUGUGGAUGAAUGUGCAGAUCCAAGAGCUUGUCCAGAGCAUGCAACUUGUAAUAACACUGUUGGAAACUACUCUUGUUUCU